GAGGGUAUAGCUCAGUGGAAGGGCACAUGCCCAGCAUGCACGAGGUCCUGGGUUCAAUCCCUGGUACCUCCA
rfam:Camelus ferus unplaced genomic scaffold scaffold725, whole genome shotgun sequence.